UAAGGUAAGGGUAAAGACAGGGGCUGAGGCUGGUGAGGUAGGAAGAAGUCAGAGCAUGAAGAAUCUUGAAUGACUAUCCAGGAGAUUUGGUAACCAUUGGAUUUGGCAGGUAUUAAGGUAUUAUAUUGAACAUAACCAUGAAAGUUACCAUGAGAUUUUCAGGAAUCUGGUAAGGAGAUGAUACCUACCUUAACCCCUAAAGUGUUUAUGGGAUCUUGCAGGUAAGAAAUCAAGAGACAAUGGUAGCCACAGUAAUAAACAAGAUAUUUUAUGAGUAUCCAGGUAAGAGAUAAUGGUGCCCCUAAAAAUGUGGAAACCAUGGGAUUCUUCGGGAUCCAAUUAAGAAAUGAUGUGUAACUAGCAAUGGUAAUAACAAAGUAGUUUACAAUUAGCCCAGUAAGAGAUGCUGUGUCUUUACAAGGGCAUUUAUCUAUUAUUUGUAGGUCUCCAAGGUAAGUUGUUUUUCUUGACUUGGUAGACACUAUGGACUUGUGUAGGCAUCCAGAUAAAAGAUAUGUCAGAAAUUACCAUUUUGACCAAUGUAUUUUUCAUGUAUCCAGUUAUCAACUGUUGGUAAACCUAAAUUAGAUAUGGGUCUUUGAGGUAUUCUGAAAAUAAUAAUGGUGACUUAAUCCUUGGUCAUGCCCAUGGGAUUUUUAGGUGUUCCAUAGGAUAAUGUGUUCAUAAUUAUGGUUGUUAUUAUGUUUUUUGUUUGUUAUAGGUUUUAGAGAAGACAAGGUGAAAUUAAAUGCAAAGAUGAACAAAGGAUUUGACAGAUCUUAGUCAGUAGAUGAUGGUAAAACUAACAACAAUAAUAGAGAUGAGACUUCUGAUUUCCAGGGACACCAAAUAAAACACAGACACACCUUUAAACAAGCUUCAGGACAGCUUCUCUGCUCUUGGCCUCAGACUCCCCAAAUGGGACAGCAAGAGAAAGUCACGAAAGGCUGGCAAGAGAGCAAGCACGUUUGGAAGUGGGCUUUUGUUGGGGGGACCCUUAUUAGAAAGUUCCAUCCAAAAAAGGUCAGAAGGGACAGGGUUACAAAGGACAGGUGAGUAUAAUUUGACCCAAGGGGCCAUGGAGCGACAAGCCUAUGUCUGAAGACAUGCCCUCAAACUUCCUGGACUAGAACAAUAUUCAGGUCACUACAAGAUGUAGUGAUGGACAAAGCCUCUCUGCUCCAGGAUGGAAGGUUGCAGUCGAGAGAUAACGGUGCCUCUGACUACGAUGUUGAUCUAUAAUUAAAGAAUCCAGGCAUUUCAUGGAAUCCAGUUCAAUGUUGAUGUGGACCUUAAACAUAGUACAGACCAUCUGAUUCUCAGAAAUCUAGGUUCCAAGGUAAUGGGUAACCACUGAUAAUGCUUAAUCUGGAACUUCUCUGAUAUCCAGGUAAAUGAUGUGUGAUGUGGGUUUUACCACACAAUAGACCUUCUGACUUUCAGAAAUCUAUGUAAGUAAUUAUGGCACUCUUAAUGUUUGUGGGGUCUUUUUUGGCAGAUAUUCAGGUAAGUAGGGUUUCCCCUACAAAUAUGAUUAAGAAUAAGCCCUUAAUGUUUACUAGUUCAGAGAUGUUUUUUGAAUCCUGAUUAAGACUGAGGACUCUAAGUUUCCAAAUAUAUUAUCAUGAUGUUACUCAACUUAGUAUUAACCAUGUGUUUCUAUAGGUACCCAUACAGAGAAUUAUGAUGUGUCUAUGGCUUUGACCUUGAUAUUCUGCAGGUAUCCAGGUUCCAUUCAAUGGAAGAUGAAGAAAUUAACAAAGGUUCCUUUCAUGGCGAACUUAACAAUGGUCAUUAAAGGGGGUCUAGAUAAGUUAUAUAAAUUUAAAUCACAGCACAAAACCUUUCAUCUUCAUAUAAGAAGGCAAGGGAUGACAAUAUUCUUAACUAUUGCUACCAUGUUUGUUGGUUUUACAGGUUUCAAGUAGCAACCAUGGGAUUCUUGCAGCUGUCCAGUCAAGAAAUAAUGGUCUUAUCUGAUAGUGGUGUGGACUUUGGAGUAAUGCAGGUGUCAGGUAAGAAUUUUGCCAAUGUAUAGGUAAGAAGUGAUAUGACAUUGACACAUUAAAGACAUUAUUUUCAGAUAUUUAGGAGUGAUGGCAUUGAAAACUUAUACUAACUUUGUUUUUUGGUUGGUUUACAGGGAAGAAUUUAAUUUGUCUCUAACAAUACUAAUGAGCAUGAGAUGUUACUAUGUUUUUAGUUAGAGAUAUUGUGCAUUUGUCAUUCAUAGAGAUAAAUGGAUGUGUAGGUAUCCAGCUAAUGUAUCAUAUUAUCCAUAACCACAUAUUUACCAUGAGACUUUUACAAGUAUUCAUUUAGGAGAGAAAGGAAUUGCUUACUAGAGUUUGAUCUCAGGGUUCUGUAAGUAUUCAGGUAAUGGAUCCCAAAAUAUCAGAAGUGGGGGCUGGAUUGUGGCUCAGUGGUAGAGUGCUCGCCUAGCAUGUGUGGGGCCCUGGGUUCGAUCCUCAGCACCACAUAAAAAUAAAUAAAUAAAAUAAAGGUAUUGACUAAAAAAUAAAUACCAAAAAAAAUUGACCUUCUAUUUUUCAGGUAAUCAUUUGAUGAAUGUUCAGGGCAGUGAGACUUCCGCCUUCUUUUUGGCAGAAGUAUGGGCUGACAACAUGAGUGCCUUCUCAACAUAGCUAUUUGGCAUCAGUUUUUCUUGUGCAGUUGCCAACAGAUGCUGUUUAUUUAAUGCUCAUAGUUGUGUGGCCAAAACCGUGGCUCCACAUCAGGUUCGACAUGUGUCUCGCUGCCAUACUGAGCAUGGCAUUUUUGCAGGUGACCUCUUGAGAAGGUAGGAGCUCGCCUAAAAGGUUUGGUCAGUGCAUGUCUUUGUGGCUCCAGAUAGUGUUGCUGGAGCCACUAAGGAUUCAUUGCCCUCAGGAUUUUGCAGGUGUCUAGGAACCAGGAGAUUUGCCAACAUGCCAUGGCUGGUUGGUUCAUUCCCAGAAGGGUCAAGACAUCACAGUGAGCUGAAGAAAGGUUGUCUAGUGGUCCAUUAUUGGAAUCUAGGUAGUAAGUAUUAAUGGGACCUAAAUCACAGUAUGAGACAUCUGAUCUUCAGAUACAUAGGUAAGUGAUAAGGGUGUCCUGGACCCUUAUUGUCACCAAGCUUGUGCUGCACUUGCUCAGCUAAGAAAUUAUGACUUUUUUUUUUUUUGGAAUUCUAGUGACCACGAUUAUAUACCUAGUUUAUCCAGUAGAUGAAAUUCACAUUGAACCAGAGAAUGUUGAGAGACAAAUUUUAUCUGGGUCCAUUUCAUUGGAAUUGAAUCUCGAGGCUAGAGGAAUCAUCUAAAGACUGUAAUCAUUUUCAUCUGUGUCUUAUCCCUAUUAGUUCUCAAAUAUCCAGAGACAUGUCAAGACAUUAGAGUGAGCAAAAAGUGUUCAUUCCAGGUAAUUGUCAUAGAAUCCAUCACUGGGAUUAUGCACUAUGGAAUUUUUGCAGGUUUCCCCUCACAGGAAGAGUUCUCUUACAAGAAAUUGUCUAUGGUUUUGUGUAAGUAUUUAGGUGGUAUAGAUGGAUCCCAAAAUGAUUUAAUGAUCUGAUUCAUGUAAGCACAUAUGUGACUAAUUGACAGCCUAGGACUUCUCAUCUUCACAUACAGAGGUAGGUCAUUAUGUGUUCCAAGUCAUUAUAUUAUCCAUAGUAAUUUUGCAUGUGUGUAGUUGAGAAAAGUUGCUGUUCUUAACCAUGACAUCAACCUUAGAUUACUGCAAGUUUUCAGGUAGAGUUGAUAAGUCCUACAAUGAUGGAAGUGAAAAAGUUCAUUUGUCAUUGUCCAUGUUGGAAAAAUGCCAGUGGACACAUUUAUUGCAAUGUUUUCUCAGAUUCAAGUCAAGAGAACUUUUUGAACUUUGCGAUAAUUAUUAACAGGGAUUUUAUUUGUCUCAAGGAAUGUAAUGUGGGCCUUAAACAGCAUGUCCCAAUGAAUAUGAGUAAGCAAUGGCCCUUUAUGUUUUAGAGAUUAGAUAUAAUGUGUGUUUUAACUCAUUAGUGACUGAAGGAUAUGCAGGUAUCUGGGUAAGUUAUCAUUUUGUUCACAUCUGUUUACUGACUUUCCCUUUUCUUCAAUUAUCAAGACCAAAAUGUGUCUUGUAAGUAGUUUAUUGACUUGAAUGUCUGAUAGUUUCAGCUAGAUUUGAUGAACCUCAUAAUGAUCAAGUGACCAUGGAAUUUUGCAGAUGUUCAUGUAGUACAUGUAUUCUACACCUUUUUAACCAUUUUUAUAGGAUCCAAUUGAGAGACAGUGGUACCUUAAUCACUAUGGUUAAUGCACACAUCAUCUAUUAACUGAACACCAGCAAAAUCCAAAUUAGAUACCACUAUUUGGUUCAACCAUAACCUCUUAAUUGCUAUUUUUGCAGAAAUCUAUUCAAGCAUUGAUGGUGUUAUCUAAUGUUGAUCCUGGGUUUUUGCUAGUAUCUAGGAAGCUUUUAUGGUUCCUUUUAAGUUAUUAGCCACCUAUAAGAUUUUUAGGUAUACCAUGUUGUGGAUUUAUCCUUAAACAUUUUUUUGUCUCUGGGCUUUCAUAGAUUCCAAUUGAGAGAUUAUUGCAAACCUUUCUAUAAUAUGAAAGGCAAGAUUUUGCUUGCAUCCAAGCUCAAGAUAAUGCUUUUAUCAACAUUAGAGCUCAUGAGAUUUUGCAUGUAUUCAGAUAAUCUGAGAAAAGGCAAUGAUGUUCCAGAUCCCCAGCUUAAAGACAAUGGUGUCUCUAUCAACAGUGGUGUCCAUAGGAAUGAAAAAAACAGAAUUUUUUGUUCUCUAUUAUUUUAUUAAAUGAAUUUUAAUAUCUGAUGACUAUCCAA